AGCAGUGUGGCUCAGUGGAAAGAGCACGGGCUUGGGAGUCAGAGGUAAUGGGUUCGAAUCCCGGCUCUGCCA
rnacentral:tRNA from 1 species